ensembl:rRNA 5S_rRNA 5S ribosomal RNA
GUCUAUGGCCAUACCACCCUGAACGCGCCCGAUCUCGUCUGAUCUCGGAAGCUAAGCAGGGUCGGGCCUGGUUAGUACUUGGAUGGAAUACAGAUCUAUUAGGUUUGCUAUGACU